CCGAACCCGCGCGCGGUCCGGGGUCAGGGCCGGAGAAACGCGGAGCGGCCCCGACUGCUGCAAAUGACAGCGGCGCUUUCUCUCCGUCCCCUCGGGCUCCCCGCUGUAUCCCCGCGGCGGGGCAGACCGGGAGGGGGGCCGACACGCCUCCGGCAGUGGCAGGGACGCAAACAGAGGGGUCCGGAGGAAGGAAACUCCGGCAACUGCGGUAAUACUGGUCACAUUUCUCACCUCACCUGUCUCUAUGAGCUUCACCUUUAUUUGAUCACCUGGAGAUGGAAACAACCUCUCCACCAAAAAAAAAAAAGCAACAAAAUGUCACAACCAACAUUGUGGGAAUCUGGGAAUCUUCCACAACUUUCCUGAGGCAUCAUCAGGGGAUUAUAAACCCCCUACAAGUUAAAAUUUCCAAGCUGACUCCAAGCUGAGUCAGCAGGUGACUUAAUGCAACUGCACAAGAUGAACCCAGACAUCUCAACAUCUCCAUCUCUCCAUUUCCACACUGUCCAUCCCACUCCCAGAGCACUGUGCUUCUUGUAUCUUUUUCCCCAUUUAAUGCUGGAGUAGGAAUAUAAGACUAUUAAAAUGCCAGUUUUUACAGCUGGAAAAUAAAACCCUGCCCACUUGUUAAGUCUA